rnacentral:rRNA from 1 species
UCUACGGGUGGCAGCAGUGGGGGAUAUUGCACAAUGGGGGGAACCCUGAUGCAGCGACGCCGCGUGGGUGAAGAAGCGCCUCGGCGCGUAAAGCCCUGUCAGAAGGGAAGAAAAUGACGGUACCUGAAGAAGAAGCCCCGGCUAACUACGUGCCAGCAGCCGCGGUAAUCCGGGGGGGGCAAGCGUAAUCAGGAUUUACUGGGUGGAAAGGGGGCGCAGACGGCGAUUCAAGCCAGCGGUGGAAGCCCGGGGCGCAACCCCGGGACUGCGCUUUGAACUGGGUGGCUGGAGUGCAGGAGGGGCAGGCGGAAUUCCUGGUGUAGCGGUGAAAUGCGUAGAUAUCAGGAGGAACACCGGUGGCGAAGGCGGCCUGCUGGACUGCAACUGACGUUGAGGCCCGAAAGCGUGGGGAGCAAACAGGAUUAGAUACCCGGGUAGUC